ACAUGAAGAAAACGUAGAAACAGGUCCCCUGGAAAUGCGUAUGUUGACGGCGAUGCAUCAAGUACGAGUUAUUUCCUAGUAAGCGCAGCAGUCACCGGUGGCACUAUCACAGUUGAAGGUUGCAACACAAGAAGUAUACAGCAUCAAACUAGCUGCAGUUGCUUCUCGUAAGGAACACAUAAAUCUGGAGCAAUGGCUGAAUGAAAAUUUGAGCACAUACAAGGAUACCUUUUUUGAGGAUUGCCUCAAGUUCUUAAAAGAUAUACCUUCUGCAGCAACAAAUGAUGCAUCUGCCAAUCCUUUCCAACAUUCCAGCUCUGUCAUGAAUCUUUAUCUAGAGACAAGUUCUACUCUUUUGAAGGUUUUUGCUUCCAAAAUUUCUUUUUCUAUUACCUAUACACAGUGUCAUAGAGAACUAUUAUGCAUAUUGUAGUUUACAUGAAUAUUUCACAGGUCCUUCAAGGCCAUUCUGGCCAGCUCAUCUCCCACCAACUUUUUGAGGAAUUGAGAAGAAAAUGCCGACUGCCAAUGAUAGUGAAGAGGAAGAUGAUGAGGUGCUCGAGCUGAAAGAACGACUGGCAGCGUAUAACAUUGAUUCUCCUUCAGAUCAAAUAGGUAUAUGAUCAUCCAUGUGUAGUAAGCUUUCGGAUCAAAGCGAAGCUGAGAAUAGGGUGUUAGUUGAUUGCAAAUUGAUAACCAGUAGAUGCACAUCCAUGGAGUUUUCGCUUGCGAUUGUUGAGAAGCUAUUUGGCUGCGAGAAGGCAUUGGAUCUUGCUGUUAAUGAGAACUUUAAAUAGACAUAUAACUAUUAUGUUGGCAUUGUACUUUUGUGAAAGAAAAUGAAUGAUUGUGUUUGAUUGAAUGAA